GAUGAACGCUGGCGGCGUGCCUAAUACAUGCAAGUCGAGCGAACGGACGAGAAGCUUGCUUCUCUGAUGUUAGCGGCGGACGGGUGAGUAACACGUGGAUAACCUACCUAUAAGACUGGGAUAACUUCGGGAAACCGUAGCUAAUACCGGAUAAUAUUUUGAACCGCAUGGUUCAAAAGUGAAAGACGGUCUUGCUGUCACUUAUAGAUGGAUCCGCGCUGCAUUAGCUAGUUGGUAAGGUAACAGCUUACCAAGGCAACGAUGCAUAGCCGACCUGAGAGGGUGAUCGGCCACACUGGAACUGAGACACGGUCCAGACUCCUACGGGAGGCAGCAGUAGGGAAUCUUCCGCAGUGGGCGAAAGCCUGACGGAGCAACGCCGCGUGAGUGAUGAAGGUCUUCGGAUCGUAAAACGCUGUUAUUAGGGAAGAACAUAUGUGUAAGUAACUGUGCACAUCUUGACGGUACCUAAUCAGAAAGCCACGGCUAACUACGU
rnacentral:rRNA from 1 species